GUCUAUGGCCAUGCCACCCUGAACGUGCCUGAUCUUGUCUGAUCUUGGAAGCUAAGCAGGGUCGGGCCUGGUUAGUACUUGGAUGGAAGACCACCUAGGAAGACCAGGUGCUGUAAAGU
rnacentral:rRNA from 1 species